GGAAGGAAAAGUUAGUAGCAAGUGGGAGAAAAUCAGCCCUACAUGAGGCAGCUGUGGCCAUACAUUCCACCUCUGGGGGAAACUUGCCACCUCAAGUUUAUUUUCUUUCAAUUGCAAAAAACUUCUUUUUUGUGUAUCAAGGAGCAACAGAGACUGAACUCCCCAUAACAAGCAGGACAAAAGGUCCAUUGUUUAAUGAUUUCAAUUAAAUUAGCAAAUGGCAGAAAAUUAAGCAACAUUCCAAGCAUUUUAGUGUGUUGCAUGGGGCUACUUUCGGUGGAUGUGAAUGCAUGAAAAGGCCUUUCCAGCUUGAACCACUGGAUGAAUGCACAGGGUACUCUAUAAUCAUAAGCCCUUGUGCUUCUGGCAGUGAUGGGUGCAAAAUCCAAGGCAAGCUUUUACUAAUGCUAUUAAUAUGUUAAUAGCAGCUGUCUGAAAUGCUCAGUGUGUAAGAGCAGUUACAUACUACAUUUAAUAAUACCUAAUUCUUCACUAUUUUAGCAGUCUGACCUAUUUACUGAUCUUCAUAGUAUCAAGAUACACCAGCAUUUGAGAGACAAGCUUUUUCUACUUCCAUGCUCAGCUGGAGAACAGGAACUAUAGCAUCUUAUCCUUACCCUGUGCAGUCAGAAUUAGUCUACAGUUAGGUAGAGUCGUGCAUUAGUGGGAAAGAGCAAUAACAUCAACUUUAUAAUCACUGCUGCAUUCCUUCACUCUUGCUUUACUGGGGGGUCUUCUCUCUUGUCAAGAAAAACAUCAGCUCCAGAGGGGUUAAGAGCAGUUUAAAAAAACCACAAGAGCAGACAGGCUAGUACUGUUCUACAAAAUGAAGUCAUGUUCAGUGAAUAGAGCUGAUUAGAAUAAAUGACAAACUGCUGGUAGCUUCUCUACAGUGUCCCACACUAACAGUGCUCGAAUUUUAAUGAGAGGUAAAACGAGUCUAAGAAGCAUAUGCUGCCCUUUUUUCUUCCCUAGGAAUAAGAAAGUAGGUUCUACGCAUUUAGAUGGCAACUUUCCUCAAAGAGAUUCAUUGACAUGUGAUCAGAUAAGUGUCUUAGAUGAACAGGAGACGUUGCUGUAAGGUUUAACAAGGACAUUCUCAGUAAGAACUGGAUAGGAUCUAGAUCUUGUUUCCAGCACAGCCCUGCCAGAUCGCCAGAUGUAACCAUCCUUAAAAUAAACUGCAAGAUAUACAUCUCCCUCUUGACACCCCUAUGUACAGUAUUGCUGCUGCGGGGAGCAAAGCUAACAAGGGUCACUUUCAUAUCUGCAGGAAGGUUAUUGAACACUAG
ensembl:lncRNA